GGGUUGGUAGCUCAGUGGUAGAGCAGCGGCCUUUUAAGCCGUUGGUCGUGGGUUCGAACCCCACCCGACCCACCA
rnacentral:tRNA from 2 species